rnacentral:lncRNA from 1 species
UCCACUAUAUAACACACACAAUUGCAAACUAAAUAUAGAUUAUUAUUUUUUAUACAAAACUUAAAGCAAUCUUUCAGAAAUAGAAACUCGAGCUAAAAGAUUAUCAAAAUGUUCUAGAUAUUCAAUUAAAGAACUCUCUUGUUUAAGUUUGACAAGUUCUGCCACAGGAUCGUCGAAGGUUUCAUCAUCAAACCUAUUUCCUACCUCUUGAAGAAUCUAUUGCCAAUCUUUACCCUUAAAAUCAAGAUUUUUGAUGUAGUGAUCCAUAGUUGUAUCUUCUAAUUCGAGAAACUGCUCUGGAAUUUAUGUUGUAUGCAUUUGAGUGAUGAAGAACUCUCACAGUAAAUACGCUCUUGAAAAUUAAUAGUAGUUUAAAGUUGGCGUUCAGGCUACAAUGAAUACAGGAAAGAAACCAAGCCGUCAAUAAUUUUUUUUGUAAAGUUGUAAAGCAUGAGUGAAUUCUUCUGCUUCUAC